AUGGGCGCACAACCGUAGUGUUUAACUGUACCUAAAGUCGUCGUAGAGAUUAAUGAAGAUAAUUGUACCUAUAAUGAAGAAAAAAAAAACAUACACACGCAGUCACACAUACAUAUACUCACACACAGACACACACAGACACGAAGAAAAAAUCAGUUCACGAAUCUCUCUAAGACAUAAUUAACGAAAAGCGGAAAAGAAGCAAAAAAAUAACGAAGAUGGACUAUCGGCUACAGAGGGAGCCGCCCGCGAGCAGCAUCCAAUUCUAUGGUCUUUCUGUAUUAUUUUGUGUAGUAUUGUGUGCACAGGGUGACCUAUGAUAACUGUAAAAAUUUGUGAGAGAUGUUUGGUAAAACAGACAUGGAAUUGUGAUCCGAAGUUUAUUAAAUUUUUCAGUCAAGAUGUUAAAGUCAAAGUCAAAAUCGUCUCACUUAUAUGUUAUUUCGAAGAAUUGUAUUUGAGAAAUCCUGUGCGCCAUUAAGUCCAACUUGUGUCCGUGGUUUCAGUCAAAGUAAAUGAAACUCGCGAACAGGUGAAAAUGGGAGUUGCUGGCGGGCGAAAGCGCGUUAAAACGCGACCGGAAACAGCUGAACCAAAGUCAUAAUCGCCAAUUGCACGGUCACGUUUAUUUAUUUAUUCAUUUCGCUCGCGUGUACGCUUUUAUCGAAUGCUCGACGCCCCUGUAAUCCAUCUGACUCUGGUAUUCAAUUGAUCAUACACGUUCAAUGAUUCAUUCAUUUCCAGACUGCAGAUCUUCGAGCACUUGCAGCAUGCGUGUGUUUUAAAGUGCAAGGAUCUGUGUGCACUUACUAAAAUUCAACUUUUUGCACUCGAAGCUAUUUUAAAGGCAAAACCGAAACAUUUCUUCUGACAUAUAGUAUUUCCAUUUUUAUAUAAUUCAUCUGUUUUUGGUAAUGUAAUGUAAUGCUUAAAAAUGAUAAUCUUAAUCGUCUCAGUUUCAUCCUUAGUUUGUACAUAGUUAUUUUUUUAAUUUGGUAACAUAUUUAUUCACCUCUUCAUGUUAUGCACACGAAAGUCAAUGUAUCUGCGCAUGCGACAUUACAUAUUUAAUCAUUUAUUAAAGAUAUAAACAAUUUCGUAAUGCAUGAAUUCUUUUGCAAAAUGGAAUUGUAAUUUUUGGUGGUCAUUCGAGUAAAAAGAGUUCAAUGUCUAUUUUAUCUGUAAGCAAUUUUUCUAUGUUGUAUUCUCUAAAGAAGACACUUGGAAUGCCCUCGCAAUAGUAUUGCAAUUUAUGCUUGUUAUAACUAUGAAUGCAUUUCAGGAUAGCCUUCUUUACAGAAGAUUCUUGUAAAACAAAGGUUGAACGUGGGGAUUUGCAUGGAGAUCUGCAGUCUGUUCAUUUCUAUUUAUUUCAAUGCAAUUGUACAAUGACUUCUAGAAGAGAAAGAAAGAAAAAGAGAGAUGUCAAGGUGGUCGGGCAGGUGUGUCGAGCACGAUCGCCACAAGUGAUUUCGUAAAUUCGCCUGGGCUAUUCUACAAAACAAUGCUAGAAUGAGAGACAGGGUGGGGAGGGGGGAACCAAAAGAGAAAGAACGAGAAUGAGAGAGAGAGAGAGAGAGAAAGAGAAGACACCGAAAUCGAUGAUGGCAUCCGGUCGUCGGAUGAUCCGAAGAACUAUUUAACUAACGAUCGAGGAGAACUGGUGAUAAAAAAAGUCAUUGUAAGUUUCGCAAGACCUCACGUUCGUUUCCUACUAUUUUUGUAUGCAACAUAAAACAAAAGGAGAUUGAUGGUUGCGAGAGUGAACAGAAAUUUGAGUGUGAGAGAAUGCGAGAGAGAGAGAGAGAGAGAGAGAGAGAGAGAGAGAGAGAGCAAGCAGCAUGCGUUUCAUUAGAAGAGAGGAGACGAAGAAAGUUUUUUGACGCUUCUCGUUGGGAAGUCCGCAUCUUCCUAAUCACCUUCCGUUGCUUGCACGUCGAUGACUCGUUAGCGAAACCUUUCCUGUUUGUUACAUGAGUUGCUUGGUCCUUUCUACAGACAGUUAGCUGAAGAUCUAUCGACGAUAAUACUCGAUUAGCCGGGAAUUUUGUUCGUCGAUCGACUCUGCGAGAAGCCACGGGAUUUCAAAUUUUUCGCGCACUUCUGGUGGCACCGAUCUCGCGAUGAUCAAGGUCGAAGGUCAGUGACCCUUGGUCCUCAUUGUCUCAUGUUCAUUUGUUUCUGUUCGAAAAACUGUGCGGGACACAGAAAACAGAUUUACUCAUACGUCACUGACCUCUUCGAACUGUCGAUGAACAAAAUUCCAUUGUUUCAUAUGUAAAUCACAUAAAACCAAGCUUUCAUUCGACAAUUUUGCUUAAAUCGUUUCUAGACUGCGAAUCUUAUGUAUUUGUAGCAAAACUCAUCGUAUCAUUUUCGCAAUACAAGAAUUAAAAUUAUCAUAAGAAAACUGUGAACACAAUCCAUACAAAUCUAUAAAGAUACGCAGUCUAAUCAUUAUUUACAAGAGAAAGUUGCAUACAACACGGGACUCGAGAAACAGUUUUGUUUUGUUCUGGUUCAGGGUGUGGGAACAGCUCGCUAUGAUUGGGGCUACAAUAUCUAAGAACUUCCUUCUGGAAUCAUUAUUUAAAUGAAUAUUUUUACGACUUUUUCUGAUGUAAUACAGUCAUUGAUUGCCCUUGAUUGUCUACAAUUAAUGGUUUCUGAGAAGAACGACUAACUGUGGUUUGCAACCCCAAUUUUAAGCGCUAUUUUCAUCCCCUGGAUAUGAAAAUGACACUGGGUUUUAUGCUGUAUGUAAAUCUCAUCAAAGUCAGAGGGGACCACUUGGACAACAGCCCCUGGUAGAUCAACUCAGAGAUUACUUUUGUUAUUUAUUCAAAUUCAUCUUGAGUAUCUUAUGUUCUGAUUAGAGAUCUUUAACUCUGCUGCAACAAUUGUCUUAGAAUUUUCUAAAAUAUAUAGCCAACAUUAACAAACUACGAACCUAACUGGGUGAAAAGAUAUACGCUAUCAUAAAGUAUUCAAGACAAAAUUAGGUCAAAGAGAGAUCUAAAGAAUGCAGCAGGGUUGAUGGAGGAGCGAUCUGCAAGAGGUUCAGUAUGUUUUAUUUCUCUCUCUCUUUGAGAGCUGUUUCGCUUGACAAUUUUGCCCAUUUCUGCAUCAGACGUGUUAGCUGGCGUGAACUCAACGUUUCGUUGUUGAAGAGCGAUGAAUCCUGCCACGAUUUUGCCCUCGGUGAACAUGUUUGAGGCUGACGCCAGCAUGAACCAGGCCAAGCUUCAAGCUGACCGUACACUCGCAUCCUUUCUAGAUCACGCCUGAUUAUUUGCUUUUUAUUUGGACAUAUCACACGGUACAAGAAUAAACGAUGGCUGUGCCUUUAUGCUUAACUCUGUAGUUUAGACUUGUUCCUUUUGAACUGAGCUUGGUGUACGGUUUCAGCUAGCGGCUUGCGCUCUGUCAACCAUUGAGAUUAAAGUUGACUAUGAUAAAUAAACGAUUUAUAUUUGUUUUGGAUGGAGAUGACAGUUCAGACAUAUUCACUGAUAAUUUGCGGGCCAAACACUGUUGAGAUUGAUGUUAACUCUUUGAGGCCCAGAGUUGGCAGGCAUUUGACAAGGGUGGAUGCGCGUUGAACAAGGAAUUGUACAAUUUUUGUGUGUUAAUUAGUAAGACGUUUUCUGUGAUGUUGUACAGAGUGAUACAUGAGGGAUGGAGCUUCGUUUCCCAGAGCAGAUAAUUUAUUUUAAUGCACAUGCUGCGCAGUACAGUAGAUAAUGGAUAUAAAUUACAGUCUUUUUACAAAUGUCUUUGAUUAUCUUUAAGAAAGUGGCCCUUGAGCAGAGAUUGUUUUUAUAUCCGUGACACUUAUUUGAAUUCUUUUGUUUGAGUUGUAAUAGAGCUCUGUUUUUGAUGGAUCAUUCUGUGCAAUAUAAAAUGGUACAAAAGUAGUUGCAGGAUUGGCGAAGCUGUAUGAUCCUCAAAGAGUUACAUAGAGGACAUGUGAUGGAGUAUGUGGGAAGCGGGAAUGUGUGUGCGUGGGAUGGGAGGAAGAAUAGCGAGGAAUACUACGACGAAUCGGAGAGGAUUCGUUUGCAAAUGCAUCACGAAGGUGACCGAGAAGGUGGAAGCGAGAUUAGGAAUCGUAUGAUGGAAAUAAAGAGCUAUACUACCAACCCAAAGAUGCACAACAUCAUAGAGAGCCGGACAAUUUGAUAGAACUCAUGUCAGUCUAAUUAUAUUUCUUGUUAUAUUAUAUACAUAUAUAUAUCAUAUUUUCCAAAAACGAAUUAUAUAUAAUUCAAUAAAAAAAAGACACUCUCGUUUGAUACUUCGCGAGACCUUUGAAUUAUUCCCGUGAUCCACUGUACACUUAAACAUAUCAUUUAUAAUUUCAUAGUCUUAAGACAAUGUCCCCUGAAAUAAUCAUGAUUUUCAGUGUUUGUCUUCGUUUUUUCAAAUCAAAAUUCCCGCCUCUUUGUAAGUUGUUAGUGCCAGUGUUGUAUACUCAGUGGUACUCACGAGGAAUUCCAUUUAUGUAUCAACAUUUAUUAGAUAAUUGUAAAUGUUGAUAAUUAUUAGUUAGUGAAUUUGUUUCACACAUAUCCAAUACUUUUCCUAUAAAAGUUUUGUUUAUAAUAAUAUAUGUCUAUAACAUUUAUAUUUGAACUUCUUUGAAGAUCGUAUCAAAUGAUAAAUAAUAAUAAACAAAUGGAAAUUUUUGUCUAGCAGAAAGAAGAUGCAAUGUAGAAUAAGGAAAAAUUUAGAAAUUAAAUAGGAGCCCAGUAUCGACAGCAUAAUAUGUACAGCCCUGAAGAACAGCGCCUCUAGCGUUCUUCUUGCGAAUUAACAUUGCUAACGGUUUUGAAUAUGAAGCAAAGAAGUAUGUAUGGUCCUCCAAGAAGUUUAGGAAAAAAGAAGUCCAAAUGAGGUUUCCAAUAUCAUAAUUGUAUACGUGGAUGCGUGCAUGAAUAUUGAUGGCGAAAAUGACGAUGAUGAUCCUGACAACAAGGAGGAUGUGAAUCAAGACAUUUCAAUCAUAACCGAUGAAGAUAUUGUGUGCGUGAAUGUGUGUAAGGAAAAUAAUGAUUGGAAUGAUUGUGGCGAUGACGACGAUGCAAAUUAGAAUGUGUCGACUAUGGAUUCUUAGUGUGAUCGAUGGAAUUUGAAAUUGUCUGCAUGAAUGUGUGUGUGGAGAAUGAUGACAAGAAUGACGUUGAUGAUUGCAACUAGGAUUCAGCUUACAUCAGGUUCUCAACUUUAAUUAAUGGACGCCGGUAUCGGUGAGUCGAAAUUAUUUUUUCU